rnacentral:misc_RNA from 1 species
GAUGAAGAACGUAGCGAAAUGCGAUAAGUAAUGUGAAUUGCAGAAUUCAGUGAAUCAUCGAGUCUUUGAACGCACAUUGCGCCCCUUGGUAUUCCAUGGGGCAUGCCUGUUCGAGCGUCAUUUGUACCUUCAAGCUCUGCUUGGUGUUGGGUGUUUGUCCCGCUUUUUGCGUGGACUCGCCUCAAAGCAAUUGGCAGCCGGCGUACUAGCCUGGGAGCGCAGCACAUUUUGCGCAUCUCGACUGGAACGCUUGCGUCCAUUAAGCCUACACUUUUGCUCUUGACCUCGGAUCAGGUAGGGAUACCCGCUGAACUUAAGCAUAUCAAUAAGCGGAGGA